GUUCAGGAAAAUAAUUCAUUUUAUUUUGUUCAUAUGUUAAUGAAGACAAUACAAUUUUAGCAUUUAAGUAGACAUAAGCAAAUGUGUGGCAUGAUUCACAUAGAAAUAGUUGAAUCAAGCAGAAUCAUGUAACUAAACAUACAGAGUGUAAUGGUUUAAAACACACAUAUUGAACGUUCACCUCCUUCAACAAUUCAAUACACAAGGACCUUGAACUUGAAAGUUGAUAAAUGACAAACAGCAAUGUUGAAACUCAUACCUGUACCCUCAUUCUAAACAUUUUGAAACAGUUCAAUUAUGUUGACUUGCUUUACCAGCAUUAUUGUAAUAUACCUAGUUUAAUGAAACUUUUAACAAAGUAUUUAUAGAUAAACUGAUUUUAAAUAAGACUAAAUUGAAAUGGUAAUUUUAAGAAAAUAAAGACGGGGCCAAGAGUAAAUUAAAAUUAGCACAUAAAAAGCUUUGCAAACAGUGAUUUUAAAAAUAAGAAUGUGCUGGUAUUAUUUACAAAUUAUUUUUUUUUUCCAAAUCUUUCAUCAUGCUAAGUUCAAAACCUAUGCGAUGAUUAAAAAACAAAGCAUAUAAACAAAUAUCAUGGCACCUACAAUACAAAGAAAUUUGCAAUUCAGAAGUAGCCUUUCAAUCUCACACCUUGAUGCUCAUUUCAAAAUAUCACAAAAACAACAAAUGAGAGAAAAAAAGAAAAAAAAAAUUUUACCAUCAAUGUAAACAAUUCUAAUUCUAGUAAAUUAACUUUAAAAAAAACAACUGGUUA